GGUUACCUUGUUACGACUUAGCCCUAGUUACCAGUUUUACCCUAGGCGGCUCCUUACGGUUACCGACUUCAGGUACUCCCAGCUUCCAUGGCUUGACGGGCGGUGUGUACAAGGCCCGGGAACGUAUUCACCGCGCCAUGGCUGAUGCGCGAUCACUACCGAUUCCAGCUUCACGGAGUCUAGUUGCACACUCCGAUCCGAACUGAGAUAGAGUGGUAGGAUUCGCUCCCUGUCGCCAGGUGGCUGCCCUCUGUCUCUGACAUUGUAGCACGGUGUGUAUCCCAAGACGU
rnacentral:rRNA from 1 species